GACGAACGCUGGCGGCGUGCCUAAUACAUGCAAGUAGAACGCUGAAGCUUGGUGCUUGCACCGAGCGGAUGAGUUGCGCACGGGUGAGUAACGCGUAGGUAACCUGCCUGGUAGCGGGGGAUAACUAUUGGAAACGAUAGCUAAUACCGCAUAAGAGUAGAUGUUGCAUGACAUUUGCUUAAAAGGUGCAAUUGCAUCACUACCAGAUGGACCUGCGUUGUAUUAGCUAGUUGGUGAGGUAACGGCUCACCAAGGCAACGUUACAUAGCCGACCUGAGAGGGUGAUCGGCCACACUGGGACUGAGACACGGCCCAGACUCCUACGGGAGGCAGCAGUAGGGAAUCUUCGGCAAUGGACGGAAGUCUGACCGAGCAACGCCGCGUGAGUGAAGAAGGUUUUCGGAUCGUAAAGCUCUGUUGUAAGAGAAGAACGAGUGUGAGAGUGGAAAGUUCACACUGUGACGGUAUCUUACCAGAAAGGGACGGCUAACUACGUG
rnacentral:rRNA from 1 species